rnacentral:rRNA from 1 species
AAGGUUCGUCCGCCCUGGGUUAGUCGGGACCUAAGCUGAGGCCGAAAGGCGUAGGUGAUGGACAACAGGUUGAUAUUCCUGUACUACCGAUAACCGUUUGAGAGAUGGGAUGACACAGUAGGAUAAGCUAAGCACACUGUUGGUUAUGUGUGCCCAAGCAUUGAGGCAGUCAAAGUAGGUAAAUCCGCUUUGAUAAUGCUGGGAUGUGAUGGGGAGCGAAAUUUAGUAGCGAAGUAGCUGAUUUCACACUGUCAAGAAAAGUCUCUAUCGAGGUUAAAGGU